AACUCAUUCCCUGGAUGAGCUGGAAGCUCAACGUCAGUAUGCCAACGACUUGGAGAAACAAAUCGAAGCUCUUGCACAGAAGUUACAAUCAGCCGACACGCGCUACAAGCAGAAGGUCACAGAAGAGAGGGAUAAACUUGCUGAGAUUACCACAGAGUUCAAUAAGUUGACA